UACAGAGGGGGCGAGCGUUGUUCGGAAUUACUGGGCGUAAAGGGCGCGUAGGCGGCCUUCUAAGUCGAACGUGAAAUCCCCGGGCUCAACCCGGGAACUGCGUCCGAUACUGGGAGGCUUGAAUCCGGGAGAGGGAUGUGGAAUUCCAGGUGUAGCGGUGAAAUGCGUAGAUAUCAGGAGGAACACCGGUGGCGAAGGCGGCUUUCUGGACAGAUACCGACGCUGAGGCACGAAAGCUAGGGGAGCAAACAGG
rnacentral:rRNA from 1 species